rnacentral:rRNA from 3 species
GAAUGCUGACAUAAGUAACGAUAAAGCGGGUGAAAAGCCCGCUCGCCGGAAGACCAAGGGUUCCUGUCCAACGUUAAUCGGGGCAGGGUGAGUCGACCCCUAAGGCGAGGCCGAAAGGCGUAGUCGAUGGGAAACGGGUUAAUAUUCCCGUACUUGGUGUUACUGCGAAGGGGGGACGGAGAAGGCUAUGUUGGCCGGGCGACGGUUGUCCCGGUUUAAGCGUGUAGGUGUGUGUUCCAGGUAAAUCCGGUUCACUUUAACACUGAGGCGUGAUGACGAGGCACUACGGUGCUGAAGCAACAAAUGCCCUGCUUCCAGGAAAAGCCUCUAAGCAUCAGGUAACAU